GAUACAAAUAGAUCAAUGGAUGAGAUUUUCUUGUUUUCUUUUUUCUUUUUCUUUUUUUCUCUAUCUCUCUUUCUCGCUCUUAUCUUCACAGAUCUUUUUUUUAGAUCUCUCCACCUUCGACAAAUCUCUUUUAUUUUACAGAUCUCUUUUUCUUAAUCAUCUCAUACACACACAUCACUGUCUUACUCUCCUAACCUCACUCACACACGAUUCAUCUCACAGACAUCUCUCUGUUUCACUCUCAUAAUCUCUCUGUCUCACGCACGACACAUCCCCAACCAUCUUCUUCAGAAAGCGACGGUGGAGGCGCCAAAACAAUGGUGGAAGCUGCGGCAGACUCGUCUCUGGUCAAGCACUGCGUUGGCUUCACCUCCUCACCACCACCGCAGAUUUAUUAAGGAGCAAGGGAAGGAGAAGCAGUGGUGUGACAUAGCGGCGUUUCCGGAUCAAGCGUGGUGCGGCGGUGAGGUGGUGGUCGUGCGGUGGAGAUGCGAGCAUCAUGGUCGGCGGAGACUGAAGAAGAAUGUAGUUUGGUGGCCGUAUUAGGUUUAGUUAGGGUUAAUUAGUUAACCAAUUUGUAAUUCUAAACCAAUUUGUAAUUGUACCAUUUUGUAAUUGUAAACCAUGUAAACCAAAA